CGAGAGAUGGAAAGUAAAAUAAAAUCAUUGCAGGAAAAGGCUCGUAUAGCUGUCGAGUCUGCAGGCUCUUAUAUCACUUGAUCUUUGACCAACUUUUGCUUACCAGGAAGUAAUAGCUUUGUAUAAGCAAUCGAGACACUCCAAAGGCAACUAUUUAAUCCUUGCUGCAUCUAUUUGAUCCCAACUUGGGAGGGGAUUAUGGAGGUAGCUCAUUGAGUUUAAUUAUUUUCUUGUAAUAAUGAAAGUAGUUGGGUAAUAUUUAUAAUGGAAGAAAGUAUAUAUUAAUCAAAUGGUUCUGGAGAA